rnacentral:rRNA from 1 species
AGUGAACGCUGGCGGUAGGCCUAACACAUGCAAGUCGAACGGCAGCACAGGAGAGCUUGCUCUCUGGGUGGCGAGUGGCGGACGGGUGAGGAAUACAUCGGAAUCUACUCUGUCGUGGGGGAUAACGUAGGGAAACUUACGCUAAUACCGCAUACGACCUACGGGUGAAAGCAGGGGACCUUCGGGCCUUGCGCGAUUGAAUGAGCCGAUGUCGGAUUAGCUAGUUGGCGGGGUAAAGGCCCACCAAGGCGACGAUCCGUAGCUGGUCUGAGAGGAUGAUCAGCCACACUGGAACUGAGACACGGUCCAGACUCCUACGGGAGGCAGCAGUGGGGAAUGUUGGACAAUGGGCGCAAGCCUGAUCCAGCCAUACCGCGUGGGUGAAGAAGGCCUUCGGGUUGUAAAGCCCUCUUGUUGGGAAAGAAAUCCAGCUGGCUAAUACCCGGUUGGGAUGACGGUACCCAAAGAAUAAGCACCGGCUAACUUCGUGCCAGCCGCCGCUGUAA